CGUGGUAGAGCCUGGUAAUGCACUGUGAACAGGAAGUAGUAAUUUCUAAAGCUAAAUAUCACUAGAGAUCGAUAGCGAAUAAGUAGCGCGAGCGAAUUGUGAAAAAGUUUCAUUUAGAAAGUGAAAUAGUGAAAGUACCAGGGCGUAAGCCGAGUAUCUCGGAC
rnacentral:rRNA from 1 species